UGUAUAUAUAUGUGUGUAUAUAUAUAUAAUUUUACAGUGUACAGCAGAUGAAUCAUAAUAACCCUUGGCUUGUAAACAAUGUUAACUUGGGGCUUGAUAUUGAUACACAUCUGUUCUUAGCCCUGCAGGAUUCAGUCAAGAGUCCCGUUUAUACCUGGUGCUAACACACGUCCUAAUAUUGUCCACAUUUUUAGACGAUUAAAAGAACCGAUUGUGAUCAGAUUUUCCGGACUGUUUCCAGAGGUAGUCGGGGACGAAUUGAUUGGUUGGAUGAAAGCUCGAUGGACAGGUCAAAGGAUGGAGUGUACAGGUGAGAGUAAAAUAAAGAAUAGCCGCCUUGAGGGAAGUUGGGUUGCGACACACAAGGUUGCCAGUUCGAAUGCCAAUGUAGCUUUUGUUUUCCAACCUUACUAAUCACAAUUCUACCUGACUGAACAGCUUUAUAUAGGUAAAACAUGUGUUGUGCCCUCCCAAUUGCUUGCGCAGUAAACUAGGUACUGGGAUAGGGACCAGAACGUCACAGGUUCUAAACUUGCCAAUGCCCUUUCUCAACAAAGGUAUAUGUAUAGCCCUGGUUACACCUUGCAUUAACAUGUGGUUUUCGUGAUCAAACACAUGGAUCACACAAGCGGGUUGACUAAUAACCCGCAAUCUGCUGUUAUAUCCAGGUUUAGGGUCAUGAAAUAGUGUGGAUGAAUGGGGGAGUGGGUUGCAUGUAGGUUGAAUAAAGAAAAAACGUUAUUUUUAUCUGGCAUUAGUGUGUAGGCCAACGCUUUAGGGCCUAACUGUAUGCGCGCGUCAAUUGUUUUGGGGAAAAAGUUAACAUCAAUCCACUAAGGCAGAAAGGGAACUGUAAAGCGCGUUCUCUAUAUUUGCGGGUUAGUCGGCUCUGGGCCUCAGAUUGACAUAUAGUCAGGCGGUUGUGGAUGGGUUAUUAGCAAUUGCUGGUGGGUGCUAAUGAACAAACAGCUGACCCGCGCAUCACUAGUCUACACAUUUGCAGCAUCUACACACGUCUGAACAGCCAAAAAGCACAUGGAAUCUGAUGUUUCAAACCACCUUCGUAAGUCAUUUGAAAUAAGAUACAAAUCUGACUUAUUUGCCCUCAAGUGGUUUUUGGAUUUAUUGGGCAUAUCGUGUUGCUUGCUCACUACAGUGUUGACAGUUUAACAAGAAUAUGUGGCAGCUAACGAGCUUGUUAAUUGUUUACAAACAAAUGUGAAUGUGCUAGAAAGCUAAAUGGCUACCUAGCUAGCUAGCGUCUGUUCUUACACUAUAAUUUUGAACAUUCAAAGCAACUGGGAAAUGUCCAUGGCAGGCAUUGUUGUCAGUUUAGCUUGCUACAGUACAUACCUUUGAGUGAUAGGAAGCAAGAGCAAGACCACCAAUCAGCCUGCACCACUGCGCAUACACUCAUUGUUACUAUGACAACUAGUGCAGGCAUGUUAGCAAACGACUGCUGUCUGACCACAUUCGAUUUGGUCACUUGGACAGUCAGUGUUCCAAAAUGCAUUUGAAAAAUAAAACUGAUUUCAGCAUUAAGGGCUGCAGUGUGAACAAAUCUUUCUAUCUGCUGUGUCUGCAUUUUUACCAGAUGACCUGGUCCCUCCCUGUAUGCA
rnacentral:lncRNA from 1 species